AUUGAACGCUGGCGGCAUGCCUUACACAUGCAAGUCGAACGGUAACAGGUCUUCGGAUGCUGACGAGUGGCGAACGGGUGAGUAAUACAUCGGAACGUGCCUAGUAGUGGGGGAUAACUACUCGAAAGAGUGGCUAAUACCGCAUGAGAUCUACGGAUGAAAGCAGGGGAUGGCAAGACCUUUGCCUACUAGAGCGGCCGAUGGCAGAUUAGGUAGUUGGUGGGAUAAAAGCUUACCAAGCCGACGAUCUGUAGCUGGUCUGAGAGGACGAUCAGCCACACUGGGACUGAGACACGGCCCAGACUCCUACGGGAGGCAGCAGUGGGGAAUUUUGGACAAUGGGCGCAAGCCUGAUCCAGCAAUGCCGCGUGCAGGAUGAAGGCCUUCGGGUUGUAAACUGCUUUUGUACGGAACGAAAAGCCCUGGGUUAAUACCCUGGGGUCAUGACGGUACCGUAAGAAUAAGCACCGGCUAACUACGUGCCAGCAGCCGCCGUAA
rnacentral:rRNA from 1 species